rnacentral:lncRNA from 1 species
ACAAAGCACAGUGGGAGCGAAGGAAUAAUACUGGUCAAACAUCCAGGGCAGUCUGCACAGAACAGUUGGCACUGGAACUGCACCAGAGACAUGGAGAUGCCCUCAAUGAUAGGGGGCAGAGUGGUGCAGGGCAGCCGUGGUGUAGAAAGGACAGGAUGUGAGAGGAAAGGAGAAUGGUGGGCAGUCGGGCAGGAAGUGUGAUGAUAGCAGCACCUGGAAGCGGCUUUGGAUGCCAUGCUGAGUUCUUCAGACGGCAGGCGAAAGGUAGAGGGGAGCCAGAGAAGAUUUUUAACAAAAAAGUGACAUGCUCAUUUAUGUUUUAUUUCUAAAGACGAGAAGACCUGGUCCCUCUUGUUAGGUUUGCAGAGUAUAAAUGACAAGCUACAGGCUUUUAGAAGGAUGCUAGGGCAGUGGUGCAGAGAUCAGAGUGGAAUUCGAGGGACUACAACAAGGAGGUCUUGGGCAAAAAUUCCUGGAGCAAAAGCAAGAACCCACAGAAGAGUCUACGUCUAUUCUUUAGAACUUU